AAAGAGAAAUCCUGCCAAAAGCGCUCAAGGACAAAGGGAUUGCCAUGGAAAGCAUAACUGUGUAUCAGACAGUUGCACACCCAGGAAUCCAAGGGAACCUGAACAGCUACUAUUCCCAGCAGGGGGUUCCAGCCAGCAUCACAUUUUUUAGUCCCUCUGGCCUCACAUACAGUCUCAAGCACAUUCAGGAGUUAUCUGGUGACAAUAUCGAUCAAAUUAAGACCCAGGGCCCCCAACACCCGAAGAAGAACUGUCUGCAGCUAGAGCCUCUGAGGAAGGACUGCACUGACACAGCCGUGAUGUUUGCAGCCAUCGGCCCCACUACGGCUCGCGCGCUGGCCGCCCAGGGCCUUCCUGUAAGCUGCACUGCAGAGAGCCCCACGCCACAAGCCCUGGCCACUGGCAUCAGGAAGGCUCUCCAGCCCCAUGGCUGCUGCUGAGUCAGCCACCUAGCGCUGGCCCCAUGCAGCCUCCCUGGGCUGGGCUGGCUCUGGAUGGAGCCAGGCAUCGGCAAGGGCUCUCGGGAGCUGCUGCCGUCAGACUCCUGCCUCAAGCCUGAGUGGAAGCACCUGAGGACCGGGGAUCGGGACCUGACCUGGGGCUGGCCUCAGGCCCACGUGCACGUGACUGCCCUCUGUGGAAGCCAGCUUAAACCCUAGCCCUGUGAGAGCUUCCUGUGCCCAGCAGGAAGGAAGUCAAAUAAACCACACUGACUACCUGU
rnacentral:lncRNA from 1 species